rnacentral:rRNA from 1 species
AAAGACGGUAAAGCUGAUGGUAUUGGCUCUACUUUGUCUAGGAAAUAACCGUCAGGAUUGACACCCUCCCAAUUGUAUGUUUUCAUGCCUCCAAAUCUUGGAGGCUUUUUUAUGGUUCGUUCUUAUUACCCUUCUGAAUGUCACGCUGAUUAUUUUGACUUUGAGCGUAUCGAGGCUCUUAAACCUGCUAUUGAGGCUUGUGGCAU